rnacentral:rRNA from 2 species
UUUUUUUNCUGCUCAGGACGAACGCUGGCGGCGUGCUUAACACAUGCAAGUCGAGCGGUAAGGCCCUUCGGGGUACACGAGCGGCGAACGGGUGAGUAACACGUGAGCAACCUGCCCCUGACUCCGGGAUAAGCGGUGGAAACGCCGUCUAAUACCGGAUAUGACCUGCCACCUCAUGGUGGCGGGUGGAAAGUUUUGUCGGUCAGGGAUGGGCUCGCGGCCUAUCAGCUUGUUGGUGGGGUAACGGCCUACCAAGGCGAUUACGGGUAGCCGGCCUGAGAGGGCGACCGGCCACACUGGGACUGAGACACGGCCCAGACUCCUGCGGGAGGCAGCAGUGGGGAAUAUUGCACAAUGGGCGAAAGCCUGAUGCAGCGACGCCGCGUGGGGGAUGACGGCCUUCGGGUUGUAAACCUCUUUUACCACCAACGCAGGCUCCACGUUUUCGUGGGGUUGACGGUAGGUGGGGAAUAAGGACCGGCUAACUACGUGCCAGCAGCCGCGGUAAUACGUAGGGUCCGAGCGUUGUCCGGAAUUAUUGGGCGUAAAGAGCUCGUAGGCGGCAUGUCGCGUCUGCUGUGAAAGACCGGGGCUUAACUCCGGUUCUGCAGUGGAUACGGGCAUGCUAGAGGUAGGUAGGGGAAACUGGAAUUCCUGGUGUAGCGGUGAAAUGCGCAGAUAUCAGGAGGAACACCGGUGGCGAAGGCGGGUUUCUGGGCCUACCUGACGCUGAGGAGCGAACGNCNGAAAGCAUGGGGAGCGAACAGGAUUAGAUACCCUGGUAGUCCAUGCCGUAAACGUUGGGCGCUAGGUGUGGGGACUUUCCACGGUUUCCGCGCCGUAGCUAACGCAUUAAGCGCCCCGCCUGGGGAGUACGGCCGCAAGGCUAAAACUCAAAGGAAUUGACGGGGGCCCGCACAAGCGGCGGAGCAUGUUGCUUAAUUCGACGCAACGCGAAGAACCUUACCAAGGUUUGACAUCACCCGUGGACCUGUAGAGAUACAGGGUCAUUUAGUUGGUGGGUGACAGGUGGUGCAUGGCUGUCGUCAGCUCGUGUCGUGAGAUGUUGGGUUAAGUCCCGCAACGAGCGCAACCCUUGUUCUAUGUUGCCAGCACGUUAUGGUGGGGACUCAUAGGAGACUGCCGGGGUCAACUCGGAGGAAGGUGGGGACGACGUCAAGUCAUCAUGCCCCUUAUGUCUUGGGCUGCAAACAUGCUACAAUGGCCGGUACAAUGGGCGUGCGAUACCGUAAGGUGGAGCGAAUCCCUUAAAGCCGGUCUCAGUUCGGAUUGGGGUCUGCAACUCGACCCCAUGAAGGUGGAGUCGCUAGUAAUCGCGGAUCAGCAACGCCGCGGUGAAUACGUUCCCGGGCCUUGUACACACCGCCCGUCACGUCAUGAAAGUCGGCAACACCCGAAACUUGUGGCCUAACCCUUCGGGAGGGAUGAGUGAGNUGGGGCUGCGAUGGGACGAGUCUCGA